rnacentral:lncRNA from 1 species
AGACACAAAAAUUAUUCUCACUUCAAGCCGAUCCUUUUGACCUCUCUCCUGUCCAUCAUUGUCCCAUGGAGUCCCUGUGUGUUUUCUAAUGUCCCCUUGUCUUCUCCCCACUGUCCUUUGGUUUCUCACUGUCUCAUUUUGAUCACUGGCAAUUCCACCUGCCCAGUGAUUCAGGCUUCACAUUUGACAUCUCUAAUCCCCUGCAGUUCAGUCUUUGAAUAAAUCCAAUUUUCACAGCAUACACCCUGUGUGUGCUCCACCAGGGAGCCUGGCUGCCUCCCUUCAAAGUUCCUUACAAGUAGUUCCUAUCCCAGGCCUCUGUGGUUUCCCUGCCUGAAACCUUGAUGUAUCCAUAUUCCUGGCCUUCAGACAGGUGUCCUACCUUGGCAAGGUGGCCUCUCUACCGUGCUUUUUCCUGUCUAUGGCAUCCUGUGAUGGAAUGCUGGAGGUUACCUCUUCCUAGAAAACCCUUGAGAGCAGACAGAUCACUGCCCUGUCUGUUGUCCAGCAGUAAUUCAGUAUUGCUAGUUACAUGGACAAGAGAGAGCAUGGGAGUUAGGAGCCCUUGCUUGGUAGGAGCACAGAGAAGGUCCUCAAGACUCCCAGGGCUUGGUGAAGCUCUGGUGCUGAGGUAGAGCCCUUCAUGGACUCCUGUCUGUCUUUUGAUGCCUAGGUGGCUGCCAGGGGUGAGUACACGGCUGUCUCACCUCUGUCACUGUGGGGUAGGUCAGGCCUCAAUGCAAACAGUAAGUUCUAAUGGAAGGGGUAAAGUACAGCUGCAGAGGUGACAGCGACAGACUUGGGGACAUGCCAUUCAAUGCUCUCACCCCUGCUUCCUAGGGCUAGGUUUAGACUUACAUUAUUUUUUCCAUCUGGGGUUGGAAUUGAACUUGGGACUUCAUCCACGCUAAGAAGCCCCUUCCACUGAGCUCCACUCCCAACCCCUACAUUUAAUUCUUAUUUUCCACUUUCCUCCUCAAAGUAAACUUUUUUCUAGAGAUCAGAAGAAGCAACUCUUUUCUAGAUUGACUCUUGCCUUCCUUUUCUACUCUCUCAGACUUAAAUCUCUGUUAUCAAUUAUGGGCGAGUUGAAUAUUGUUUAUACGUUUAGAGCAAAUCCAUCAAGCCAUGAAAUAUAAUUAGAUUUAUGAAUGUUCGAGAAAUCACCUUAUGGAGGUAUUUUUUUUUCCUAUAGACAUCCUCUGUUGGCAGGAAAAGUUCAAAGUGGAGAUGGUUAAGGUGUACGAUUCUUUGUUUUUCUAUCUUUUCAAAACAGACUAAUCCUUUGACUAUUUCCUGGAUUUCUGACUCACUUUCUAAGUGCGUUGUGCUUGUGUUCUGGUAUGACAGGUGAUUUCCUGAGUGUGUUUGUUUGUUUGUUUGUUUAUUGUGUUGUGUUUGGUUUAAAAAUCAACAGAGAGACUGUGAAAGUCAACUACAUAGCAGGACAAGGGGAAGAGGGCCCGAGAAGGGUGAGUUCUAAGGAGCCUCAGGUUCGAGCCACUGACGUGUUUUCCAGCCCACGUGUACUAGACCAUAGCGCUAGCCAGGCUUCCCGAGGAGAAAAGUGACCACGGACGAGAUGAUUUCUUUGUCUGUUCACUCAGGAGACAAUCUUGCUUGGAGCAGAGAAGGUGUGAAUAAGGCUGAGCUGUCCUUACCUUUGCUAGAAUCUGGUUUGAAUUAUACCUCUUCACCCCCACUCCACACACCCAGAAGACAGACUGAGAGGAAAUAUACAUAAACACUAAAAAAUAGACGCCUGAGGCAUCAUCCUGAGUGAGGUAACCCUAUCACAAAAGAACUCACAUGCUAUGUACUCACUGAUAAGUGGAUAUUAGCCCAGAAACUUAGAAUAUCCAAGAUACAAGAUACAAUCUGCAAAACACAUGAAACUCAAGAAGAACGAAGACUAAAAUGUGGACACUUUGCCCCUUCUUAGAAUUGGGAACAAAACACCCAUGGAAGGAGUUACAGAGACAAAGUUUGGAGCUGAGACGAAAGGAUGGACCAUCUAGAGACUGCCAUACCUGGGGAUCCAUCCCAUAAUCAGCCUCCAAACGCUGACACCAUUGCAUACACUAGCAAGAUUUUGCUGAAAGGACUCUGAUAUAGCUGUCUCUUGUGAGGCUAUGCCGGGGCCUAGCAAACACAGAAGUGGAUGCUCACAGUCAGCUAUUGGAUGGAACACAGGGCCCCCAAUGGAGGAGCUAGAGAAAGUACCCAAGGAGUUAAAGGGGUCUGCAACCCUAUAGGUGGAACAACAAUAUGAACUAACCAGUACCCCCCCAGAGCUCGUGUUUCUAGCUGCAUAUGUAUCAGAAGAUGGCCUAGUCGUCCAUCAUUGGAAAGAGAGGCCCCUUGGUCUUGCAAACUUUAUAUGCCUCAGUACAGGGGAAUGCCAGGGCCAAGAAGUGGGAGUGAGUGAGUAGGGGAGUGGAGGGGAGGGUAUGGGGGACUUUUGGGAUAGCAUUGGAAAUGUAAAUGAAGAAAAUACCUAAUUAAAAAAUCAUAAAAAAAAAUAAGAACCACAGACUAGGCAGUUUAGAAC